GGGCCCCGAGCUCAGCUGGAAGAGCACCUCAGUGGAAUUGAGGAAGUCGUCGGCGCGAGCCCGACUGGGUCCGCCA
rnacentral:tRNA from 1 species